AACAUCAAUACUUAUACUUAGGUGUAAAUAAUUAUUUUUGUAUGUAAACAUGCUUUUGUUUUAACUGGCAUUGGGCCAAAAUUGUGCAAGGACCUCAGAAGAUUGUGUGCACAUCAGCAUAUCCUCCGGUACCACUUACGCGCUUUACUUUGAUCUGCAGCCAAGUGUAAAACACUUUACCUACCUGUUUUAAGUUGCAAUUUAAA